rnacentral:lncRNA from 10 species
AUUGUUUAACUUUCAGUUGCUGCAGCAACUGAGUAUACUGGGCCCAGCCAGAUUCUCUGGGUGCUUUCUUCUUUCUUAGUUCCCCCUUUAUUGUGGGCCCUCCUCAGUGCCAACAUUGCUUUGUCUCUCGCUGGAGAAGCCUGUGAGAACGAGGAUGGGCAAAGUGUCAGGCUCUUGGUGCAGCUGAAAAUCCUUUGAGAUGGAAGAAAUGGCUGGAACAAAGGGGCAGAGGAACAAAAAGCCCUGAACUGCUUCGCCCCUGCCUCGUGGGGUCUUUAUCAUCUUAAACCUUGGGAUUUGGGCUUUGAUCAACUCGGCCUUCCUGGGCCUCGGGGAGAGAGACGGACUGCCUCCGGGUGCUCAUGACCUUUCCAGCAGUAAGCCAAUAAUGUAUGACUCCUGCGUUGCCGUUGCUCGUUUGAGGAACAUCUGUCCAGUCCCUGGGAUGGUGAGGCUAUAACCACAAAGGAAUAAGAGAAGACGACUAGUUUUGUAAUGGCUUUGAAUGAUGCAUUGGCCCACGUGGACCACCUUCCAUUUCCCAAGACUUUUUGAAGGCAAUGAAUGAGAAGAAAGCAGAGAAAACAGUGGGCGUGAGGUCAGAUGACUCAGGCUUGAGUACUGAUCACAUCAAGGAUUGGACGCACUGCUCUUAGGAAGGCACAACUUCUACUACU